rnacentral:rRNA from 1 species
UACGGAGGGGGCUAGCGUUGUUCGGAAUUACUGGGCGUAAAGCGCGCGUAGGCGGAUCUGCAAGUCGGGGGUGAAAUCCCGAGGCUCAACCUCGGAACUGCCUUCGAUACUGCGGGUCUCGAGUCCGGGAGAGGUGAGUGGAAUUCCUAGUGUAGAGGUGAAAUUCGUAGAUAUUAGGAAGAACACCAGUGGCGAAGGCGGCUCACUGGCCCGGUACUGGACGCUGAGGCGGCGAAAAGCGUGGGGAGCAAACAGG